CGCAGACCUUGAGGAAACCUCGCUCCGUAGCUAUUCUUCACUGUCUCUCCGGCAAAGUAGUGCUGAGAGAAGAAUGAACUACUUUGUGGACUCCACUAUGAGCAGCCCUGUCCCUUACCCAGCAUCUCGUCCUGCAGUGGUGAGGCAGGGACCUAUCAACACUUUUGAAGAUCCUCGAAUGACCUAUGGCUACCAGUCCAGUUAUCACCAGCAAAGAUCUUGCUACCCAUUCUGGGAUGAGAUGGCCACUCAGGAAGUUCCUACUGGUCUUGAACACUGUGGCUCAGGUGCUCACUUGCCCCUUC